GUGAAUCAUCGAAUUUUUGAACGCAAAUUGCACUCUCUGCGGAGAGUAUGCGUGUCUGAGGGUCAGCCUAAAAAAAAUUGACAUAGUUGCUGUUUCGCGGUGACAUGCGUCGGAAAUUGGGUCACCUUAAACCUGUGGUUAUUAAGCGGCUUAAAAUUUUCUUUACGAUUCCACGAAGGGUACACAGAUUUACUUCGUACACG
rnacentral:misc_RNA from 1 species